CUCUUUGCAGUAGAUCUUGCUGAUGCUUGCUUAUUGGGUUUGCACUACCUUUAUGAGCUGUAACACUCACCACGAAGGUCUGCAGCUUCACUCUUGAAGCCAGCGAGACCGUGAACCCAGCCGGAGGAACGGAGAACUUCAGAUGCGCCGCCUUGAGAGCUGUAACACUCACCACAAAGUCUGUAGCUUCACUCCUGAAGCCAGUGAGACCACUAAGCCGCCGGAAGGAAUAAAACUCUCAACACAUCCGAACGAUAGAAGGAGCAAAGUCUGGACACGCCGCCUUUAAGAACUGUAACACUCGCCGCGAGGGUCCGUGGCUUCAUUCUUGAAGUCAGUGAGACCAAGAACCCACCAAUUCCGGACGCACCAGUGCCCUGGUGAUCUGUCAAUACCAGUGGUGACAGAAGUGCAAUCCAAAGUAGAACUUCUCGUAACCGCCAGAAGCACUGAGUGACCAAGUAUGACACCAGCUGGACUCAUUGUGUUCAUUGCUCUCUUGCAGCACCUGGGGGUCAUGGACAAGAAGACCCAAACACAGAGAGGUUAAGAAAGUAGAGUCACACAACUAAGGUGGCAGAGCUGAUUUUAAAGACAGGAUUUCUCCUGGAUGAGAUUGGAGACUCUUAUUUUAAGUGAAGUAACUCGGGAAUGGAAAACGAAACAUCGUAUGUUCUCACUCAUAAGUGGGAGCUAAGCUCUGAGGAUGCAAAGGCAUAAGAAUGACA